rnacentral:rRNA from 1 species
GAUGAACGCUGGCGGCGUGCCUAGUACAUGCAAGUCGAGCGAACGGACGAGAAUCUUGCUUCUCUGAUGUUAGCGGCGGACGUGUGAGUAACACGUGUAUAACCUACCUAUAAUACUGGGAUAACUUCGGGAAACCGGCUCUAAUACCGUAUGAUCUUUUGAACCGCAUUGUUCAAAAGUGAAAGACGGUCUUGCUGUCACUUCUAGCUGCAUCCGCGCUGCAUUAGCUAGUUGGUAAGGUAACGGCUUACCAAGGCAACGAUGCAUAGCCGACCUGAGAGGGUGAUAGGCCACCCUGGAACGGAGACACGGACAAGACGACUAAGGGAGGCAGCAGUAGGGAAUCGGACGCAAUGGGCGAAAGCAUGACGGAGCAACGGCGCGUGAGUGAUGAAGGUGUUGGGAGCGUAAAAAUCUGUUAUGAGGGAAGAACAGAUGUGGAAGUAAAUGUGCACAGAGUGACGGUACCUAAUCAGAAAGCCACGGCUAACUACGUG